rnacentral:sRNA from 2 species
CAAGGUGUUAAAUCGUCAGGAUGAGAACCGUAAAGGUUCGAGUCUCGCGAAGCGAGACAACAUCACUCCGGUGGUGGCCCGAAGGGCGAGUUAUCCUACACGAUCCACCA